rnacentral:rRNA from 1 species
CGGAGGGGGCGAGCGUUGUUCGGAGUGACUGGGCGUAAAGAGCACGUAGGCGGUGUUGUAAGUCAUUAGUCAAAGACUAGAGCUCAACUUUAGUAAGGCUAGUGAUACUAUAAUACUAGAGUAUCAGAGAGGAUUGCAGAAUUCCUGGUGUAGCGGUGAAAUGCGUAGAUAUCAGGAGGAAUACCGUUAGCGAAGGCGGCAAUCUGGCUGGAAACUGACGCUGAGGUGCGAAAGCGUGGGUAGCAAA